CGGACGGGUGAGUAACGCGUGGGUAACCUGCCUCACACAGGGGGAUAACAAGUUAGAAAUAGCUGCUAAUACCGCAUAAGCGCACGGUUCCGCAUGGAACAGUGUGAAAAACUCCGGUGGUGUGAGAUGGACCCGCGUCUGAUUAGCCAGUUGGCGGGGUGACGGCCCACCAAAGCGACGAUCAGUAGCCGGCCUGAGAGGGUGAACGGCCACAUUGGGACUGAGACACGGCCCAA
rnacentral:rRNA from 1 species